rnacentral:rRNA from 1 species
AUUGAACGCUGGCGGCAGGCCUAACACAUGCAAGUCGAACGAGUCGCGGACGGGUGAGUUAUGUCUGUGAAUCUUCCUGAUGGAUGGGGUUCACUACUGGAAACUGUUACUAAUACCGCAUUCCAUCGCAUGUGCCCAGAUGGGAUUAGCGAGUGGGUGGGGUAAAGGCUGACCAAGGCGACGAUCCCUAGCUGGUCUGAGAGGAUGACCAGCCACACUGGAACGGAGACACGGUCCAGACUCCUACGGGAGGCAGCAGUGGGGAAUAUUGCAGAAUGGGCGAAAGCCUGAUGCAGCCAUGCCGCGUGUAUGAAGAAGGCCUUCGGGUUGAAAAGUACUUUAAGCGGGGAGGCGUUACCCGCAGAAGAAGCACCGGCUAACUCCGUGCCAGCAGCCGCGGUAAUUC